rnacentral:ribozyme from 14 species
CUUCUUUGUUUCUUUCUUUCCCUCUUUCUCUCUCUUUUUCUCUUUUCCUCUUCUUCUUCUCUUCUUCUCUGCUUAUUUCUGUGCGAGAAUUUUUGGUCUGAAAACGUCUGUGAGGACAUCGUGUCCGAGACACGG